rnacentral:lncRNA from 1 species
CUUGGGUAGUUCUCACUAGCUUAUCCCAGCACUUCAAAACCAUCCCGCCUUUUGUUUCAGGAGAGUUAAGUUCAAUCUCUCUCCCCUACUGCAACUACCUUGAGUAAAGUCUUCCUGCCAUUUCUCUUGGAUGGUACCCACCUCGGGAGCUUGUUUCUUCUUCCCCUGCCUCCGCUCCAGCCACUCCAGCACACAGGCCCAAAUGGAUUAAGAUAAGGGCUUUGGACCAGAGAAAUAUGCCUGUGCAAAGGCCCUGUGACAAGCGGGAGGCAUGGCACUAACAACAGAAGGCAAGGGUGACUAGAGUACCAGAGGCAAAGAGGCAAUGGUACAGAGGUGGCCAGAGGCCAGGCCAUCCAGGAACUUGGUAGCCACAGGUUCUGCUCAGACUGGGAAGGGAAAGGGAGCAAAGGAAAACAAUAAAGGAAUUCAAAAAAAGGGGAGGGAGUGGCAUGGUCAGGCUUCCCUUUUUUGCUCUAGUAAACUUCUAUUGAAGGAAAUUAUAUAUACAAAAAUGUGCCAGAAUCACAAAUGAAGACAUCUAUGUAACCAGUACCCCAGAAUCUUCCAUACAGCCCCUGGUAGUUAUUACCACCCUCCAAGGGUAAACAUCAUCUUAUCAUCCAAUUUCUUUUUUUUUUUUUUUGAGACAGAGUCUCGCUCUGUCACCCAGGCUAGAGUCGGCUUACUGCAACCUCCGUCCCCCAGGUUCAAGCGAUUCUCCUGCCUCAGCCUCCUGAGUAGCUGGGAUUACAGGCGCACUGUAAUUUUUGUAUUUUUAGUAGAGACGGGGUUUCACCAUGUUGGCCAGGCUGGUCUUGAACUCCUGACCUCGUGAUCCACCUGUCUCGGCCUCACAAAGUGCUGGGAUUACAGGCGUGAGCCACCGUGUCCGGCCUUAUUAUCCAAUAUCAAACUUUUUCUUCCUGUUAUUGAGUUAAAUAUAAACCAAAUAAUAUGCAUGUGAUAUUUUACAUCUGGAUUUAUUAAUUUUGCAAUAUAUUUGUAAGAUUUUAGAAAUAAUGAAUUAUUUUGUCUUUGUUUAUAUGGUAAUGUCUUUAUUUUACCUUCAUUCUUGAAGAAAGAUUUUCUGGAUAAUGGAACUCUUGGUUAACAGUUUUUUCAUUUGAUUGCUUUUUGCCCUCUAUUGUUUUAUAUGGGAAGCCAGCUGUUAACUGCAUUUUUGCCUCUUGUAGUAAUAAGUCAUUUUUCUCUUGCUUGUUUUUCUAUUUCUUUCUGUCUUCUGACUGCUUGCCUAUGAUUUGUCUAGGUGUGGAUCUCUACAUAUUUAUCCUACUUGAGGUUUAUUGAACAUUUUGGAUGUGUAUUUAAUUUUUUUUUAAGUCAAAUUCUGAAAGUUUUUGGCCACUGGUUUUUCCAUAUGUUUUCUGCUCCUUCCUUUUUAUUUUCUACUUCUGGUUUUCUCAUUAUACAUCUGUUGGCUUGAUGUUGUCCCACUGGCCCCUAUGGUUCUGUUCCUUUUACUUCAAACAUUUUUUUUCUCUGUCUUCCUCAGAUAGAUACUUUCUAUCACUCUAUCUUCGAGUUCAUUGAUCUCUUCCUCUGCCAUAUAUAAUCUGUUGUAAUAGAUCUUCACAGUAAAAUUGUAAUUUAUGCUUUUCAACACCAGAAUUUCCAUUUCUUUCUUUAUAAUUUCUAUCUCCUUAUUUAGAAUCUUUCUCUGUUGAUUGUUUAUUAUCAUAAUUUUAUUUACAAAUUUAAACAGUUCUUUGAGCAUAUUUAGAGUAGCUAUUUGAAAUCUUUGCUAAAUACAGAAUCUAGGAAAACUCAGAGACAAGUUCUACUAUCUGCUAUUUUCCUCAGUAUAUGUCACACUUUCCUGUUUCUUUGCAUAUCUUGUAAUUUUCUGUUGAAAACUGGGCAUUGAAAAUAUUGCAAUGGAUAUGUUAAUUGAUAUGUCAUGAAUAUGUUAAUUAUCUUGAUGUAGCUGUUCCAUAAUGUAUCAUUAUGUUGUACACCACUAAUAUAUACAGUUUUAUUUGCCAAUUAAAAAAAUUACAGCAACU